UAAGAGAUUAACCCUCGUCCUCCCUGCGUCGCCUCAGUAGGAAGUUUCAAGGACCAACAACACAUCUCGGUAUGACAAGCUAAGACUCAACUAAACAAACUGAUGAAACACCUCUGACCUGUGGGACACACUUGUAUGUGAUGCCAUCAACAGCAACUGAUGAAACACCUCUGACCUGUGGGACACACUUGUAUGUGAUGCCAUCAACAGCAACUGAUGAAACACCUCUGACCUGUGGGACACACUUGUAUGUGAUGCCAUCAACAGCAACUGAUGAAACACCUCCGACCUGUGGGAGGUACUUUCUCCAUCACUGUUUAAAGUGGAUCUGAAUUGAGCUGGACCUGAUGUGAACUAGACUAAAGUGGGCUGGACGUGCAAGUGAAGGAGAUCUGAAGUUAACUGGACCUAAAGGACUAGAUAGUAAUUAAUUACUAUUUUCUGGUACUUUGAAUAUUAGGAUGGUUCUACAGGCAUUCCCCAGUUUAUAAGAGAGUUCUGUUCCUGAAAAACCUUUAGUAAAUCAGAUAAAUUUUCCCAUAGACUUCCAUUAUAAAAGCCGAGAUACUUUUCUAUAAUGAAAAUACUAACCCAAAAUGUCUUAACCCUUAAGCCCCGGGUUACGUUCCAGAACGUCUGCCUAUUUUCCCAUGACACAGAAGUGAGAGUUAACACUGUGGUGUUAAUAACUUUACUAAAGUGAGGAUAUUACUUCAAUAAUUAUGUAAGAGAUAAAAUCACAAAGUAACUUCAUGAAAUUACCGUUUACUGUAUCUUAAAGUAUAGUUAAGUCUUAAUGAUCAAAUUUUUAUGUAAAAAAUUGGGGUCAAACUAUACAUGCAUAAUAUUUUUGAGGGGUUACAAUUUAUGCAUUUCCAUGGGUCAUUUACAGUGAAUGAUAGUACCUGGUGCAGUACGCGCUUAUGGUAGGUUAACCUUACCAGUAAGCUCCUUUAUCCUGGGCUUGCCUACCGACCCCAAGAUCCUAUGUGGCUACAGGAAGAGCAGAACCUUUCACUAUACAGUAUAUGCUGGUUUAAAUAUACAAAUGCCUGAUAGAAUUGGUUUCGAUAUUUUUCUUUGCAUCUGUUUAAAUUACUGGGAGAUUAUCAACUUUCCCCACCUGUGAGCUGUAUGCUAUGUUAUGGUCAGAGUGAGGGAAGAUUGGACUAAAGUUAAUUGAGAGGGAAGACUGCUGGAGACAUAAUUGAAGAGUAUUACAGUGAGGGUGGGAAGGCUGGUGAUAUGAAUUAAAACUAUUCUCAAGUAAUGUAUAUGUGGGAGAAACUUGACUAGAACAUAAGACUUUACUGUACUGUAGCAGAAGAAGAGUGAGGAAACACCUUAGGAUAGACUGAAGUUUUAUACAAGCAAAGGAAGGAUAUGUGCCACUUAAUCUGCACUGGAUUAUUUUUUUAAUUUCUUCCACAUCCUAGGUUUAGGUUUCACUUCUUCAGAACUCAACCAUAAAGAGAGUCACCUAUCAACUGGAAUCAACUGAAUCUGACCAUCUUUCCCCGACCUUUAGGACGGGGUCAGAAGUCUAUUCUGGGAAGGAUGUUUUUGGACCAGCAUGCUUGUUUGUCCAGUGGUUCCAGGAGUCAGGAUCCUCUUGAGGGAGAAACCUGGCCCUCAGACUUGGCAUCAGCCAGGUUCAGGUUGGAGGGAGGCAUAAGGUCGAGCAUGACAACCAUUACUGGUGUUGGCUGGGCAGAAGCCGUCACUUGUGCACCAAGAUGUCUUCACGUUUUAGCUCUCUGGUCUGUAGUCUCAAAUGUAAAGUAUGUUGAAUAUUUCUCCUAAGUUAAGAUGCAAGGUUGUAUCUGAUUGUGUGAUUCAAGGUGAUGGAAUCUCAAAGGUAUGUUGAAUAUUUCUUAUAAAUUAAGAUGUAAAAAUGUAUCUGAUUGGUGACAUAAGAUACAACAUUGGUCAAGGAUGAGUUGUCCUAAUUUAUUUAGUAUGGAUCAGGAAGCUGAUUCUAGGACUGUAGUUAGCCUGAUUAAAACUCGGGCCUUCGUUGAUGAGCAGCAGCAAUUUGACAGUAAUUACAUAAGAUCAUCGGAAUCGUCUUAGUGAUGUGCAAACCGAUAAAGGAUUUUUUAAUGCUAGAUGCGAUUGUAUUUUUUAAAACUCAAUCUCCACUGAGUUGGAGGUACAGCCCAGGUCAAGAGGCCUACAACCACAAAAUCUUUGUCAUAAGACAAUUUUUUUUUUU